rnacentral:lncRNA from 1 species
CCUCACUUGAGCACAAUCCAAGAUGAAAGUUUCUGGGUUGUGUCCCCUUCGCUUCCUCUCACCCUCGCUCCCCCGCGGAGCCAAGGAGCCAGCAAUUGUGCAAGAGGAGACCGGCGCACAGGGCGCGUAUCACGGAGCGCAUGGAGCCAGCAAGCCGAACGCCUCCAGCGCGGCCGGGACGGAGGAGCGGCUCUGGGGAAGACGCCGAGGCUGCGCCCGAGGUCUGAACGAAGCUGCCUCCAGCCACAUGAAGUCAGUAGGGCUGUUCUGAGGGGCCCCGAGAUUUGAUGACUGUUUUUUAGGUUGCGGAACCUACUCCGAGAGAGCAAACACUUUGGACGAAGUGAUUCAUAUUGAUAGAUACAUUUGUUGGGAGGUGGCUUUUUUCAUUCUCAACAGAAAACAAAGAAAUAAAUUAAGUCUUCCCCUGA